GAUGAACGCUGGCGGCGUGCCUAAUACAUGCAAGUCGAGCGAACAGACGAGGAGCUUGCUCCUCUGACGUUAGCGGCGGACGGGUGAGUAACACGUGGAUAACCUACCUAUAAGACUGGGAUAACUUCGGGAAACCGGAGCUAAUACCGGAUAAUAUAUUGAACCGCAUGGUUCAAUAGUGAAAUACGGUUUUGCUGUCACUUAUAGAUGGAUCCGCGCCGCAUUAGCUAGUUGGUAAGGUAACGGCUUACCAAGGCAACGAUGCGUAGCCGACCUGAGAGGGUGAUCGGCCACCUUGGAACUGAGACACGGUCCUGACUCCUACGGGACGCAGCAGUAGGGAAUCUUACGCAAUAGGCGAAAGCCUGACGGAGCAACGGCGCGUGAGAGAUGAAGGUCUUCGGAGCGUAAAGCUCUGUUAUUAGGGAAGAACAAAUGUGUAAGUAAAUAUGCACGUCUUGACGGUACCUAAUCAGAAAGCAACGGCUAACUACGUG
rnacentral:rRNA from 1 species